rnacentral:rRNA from 1 species
AACGAACGCUGGCGGCGUGCUUAACACAUGCAAGUCGAACGCGAAAGGGACUUCGGUCCCGAGUAGAGUGGCGCACGGGUGAGUAACGCGUAAGUAAUCUACCCCCGCAUUCGGAAUAACUCGUCGAAAGGUGAGCUAAUACCGGAUACGUUUAUCUUGAUGCGAAUGAUGAUAGAGAAAGGUGGCCUCCUCAUGAAAGCUACUGUGCAGGGAUGAGCUUGCGUACCAUUAGCUAGUUGGUAGGGUAAUGGCCUACCAAGGCGACGAUGGUUAGCGGGUCUGAGAGGAUGAUCCGCCACACUGGAACUGGAACACGGACCAGACUCCUACGGGAGGCAGCAGUGAGGAAUAUUGCGCAAUGGGGGCAACCCUGACGUAGCGACGCCGCGUGGAUGAUGAAGGCCCUUGGGUCGUAAAAUCCUGUCAGAUGGAAAGAAAUGUAUGGGUGUUAAUAUCGCCUGUAUUUGACGGUACCAUCAAAGGAAGCACCGGCUAACUCCGUGCCAGCCGCCGCAGUAA